rnacentral:rRNA from 1 species
AAUCAACGCUGGCGGCGUGCUUAACACAUGCAAGUCGAGCGGUAAGGCCCUUUCGGGGGUACACGAGCGGCGAACGGGUGAGUAACACGUGGGUGACCUGCCCUCAGCUCUGGGAUAAGCCUGGGAAACCGGGUCUAAUACCGGAUAUGACUCCAUGACGCAUGUUGUGGGGUGGAAAGCCUUGUGCGGCUGAGGAUGGGCCCGCGGCCUAUCAGCUUGUUGGUGGGGGAUGGCCUACCAAGGCGACGACGGGUAGCCGGCCUGAGAGGGCGACCGGCCACACUGGGACUGAGACACGGCCCAGACUCCUACGGGAGGCAGCAGUGGGGAAUCUUGCGCAAUGGGCGAAAGCCUGACGCAGCGACGCCGCGUGAGGGAUGACGGCCUCGG